CUCAUAUUAUCUUUAUUCAAGUAUGUCACAGCAGUUAUAUUACAAAUUACAGUAUUUUUUUUUUUCAAAAUUCAAUAAAUCCCAAAAAAUGUAAUAACUUACAUCAUAACUAAUGGAAAAUGAAUUCUAAUAAAAUGAAGGGAAAAAAAAAACACCCCCUAUCCCAUCUAAACACAAUUCUCAAUAAAAAUAGUCUGUAAAUAUGCUGUAGUUAAUGAAGCAUUCAACUAAUUUCAGACUGUAGACAAACAUGGAUGAUAUAAAAAAAAAAAAAAAGACAUAAAAAGUUACAAAAAGGUGAAGGGACAAUCCCAACCAAUUCAAGCUUAUGGUGUGAUCACAAUAAAUUGAUGAUUAGCUCCUGAGCCAAGCCUCUGAAAUACCAAGAAAACAGCCAUUGCCAACAUAUAUACAUAUAUAUAUAAAAGAAAGUUACACACACACACACCGAAAAUACAUAGAAAACGAUGGAUCAUAGAAAAUGCAACAUAUUAAAACAUUGGCAUAUGAGAAAAUCAAGUAACAACACAGAAAGGUAGUUUUAGGUGGUAUUCAAGCAUUUAAAUAGGACAAUCUGUUAAUUCACUGUUGACGCAAAUAAAUGUUAUUUUUGAAGUCAAGAGGGGAAGAGAAUUUGCUUUUUAUUUUGGGGGGUUUGAACCGGCUAUUAGUACAAUUCAAGGAUACUUUUCGGGUCAAAACAGCAGUCAAAAUUUUAAACAUUACCGAAUGAGUUACCAUAAGUAACAAAAAAGCACAAUAAUCACAAAGUAAAAUAUUAAUGAAAUGGAACAUAUGUUUUGUGAUGGUUCUCCUAUAACAAAUCCUCAUGGGUACAUAUAUUUAAUAUAGACUAACUUUAAAACAAAGCACCUCUCUGCAUUGGGAGCACCAUUGCUGUAUUCAGGAGGAAAUCGAAGAGAUCCCCGGAACUGUGAUUAUAGUGAAUUUAGCUCUGCUGAAAGCAUCUGGGUUUCCACCAGUGCUCCAUGCUAAUAUUGUAGGACAUCAAGCUAACACUUAAUAAACAGACAUUGUAGGCAUUUAAUAGAUGUUAAACAUUUAGAAUUACUAUUAUUUUGUGUAGAUACACUUACUUUCCAUAUUACAAGGUCACUUUAAGCAACAUCACUCUUCCCAACAAUCAACGCCUAUCACUGCUGUCCUCACUUGCAGAUAACGAGAAGCUAAAAUAUCUCAUUAACUCAGCAGGACAAAUGGGGCUGGUAUGUUGGUGCUUCAGAUAGAGCUGUUUGUAAAAUCAAUUGAAAAUGGUUUGCACCAAAAGAUGGGACUGAACAACAGCCACUUCAAUAAGCUCUAGUUAGUGGUUAUGGAGUUUAGAAUGUUUUAAUGUUGGCUUGCUACUCUGUGAAAUCAUACAGGGUGUUUUAUUAAAGUGAGAUGUCAAAGUACAUUUCAAAUUAUGAUCCACUGCUGUCAAUCUCAGAGAAUAGCUGACUGAGAUACUUUGACCUAAUGUUGAAUUAGAUUCCCACCUUAGUACAUAUAGUAUCUGGGACUUCUGCUUUGGAAUCUUUUAGAGUAUAAAGAAUGUAAGAAUAACCAUGUAUAAUAUAUUUCCAAUAUAAAAAGUAAAAAAAAAAAAGUUAUCAUCAUAAGUUAAUUACAUGUUUAACAGUUUGUUUUAAUGGUGAGAUUAGUAAAUUAAAUGUACACGGAUAUACAAACAGGAAACCUAUGAGAUAAGCAAUGACACUUCAUAUUGUAAUGGGGAUUUAGAAAAAGAAAUUGCAGACUUGUAAUAAAGCAAUGUUUCCCUGAACGAAGCAUAUUUUAUACCGGCUCUCAAUUAGAAAGCCAGAAUGGUCUCUAUAACUAAAACCCUAUAUAUUAAACACUUGACAAACAAUUACAUCACAUUAAAGUGAUCUAUUGCUUGCUUUGUUUAAAUACUCAAAAAUAAUUACUGUCAAACCUGUGUAUUUUUUUUUUUCUAAUAACUAUUACGGUUUACGUAAGAAAAAAUUAUUUCCUGCGUAACGCUACCAAAUUAAAGCCAUUAGAAAUUCCCACAGAUCCUCUUGUGAAGUCCUGUUUGUGACAAUUUUGGGAUUACUAGUAAAGUAGUAAACAGUACAGAACCCUGGUUAGACAACACAUUACAAUGUUUUCAUGAAUGUCUUAUUUAAUAGAUAGGUGCUCAAGCUUUCUCUCUGCAAUAGUCCGGUAAACAACAAUAAAGCUGGCUUGCUCAAAAAAAUUGUAUAUUUCUGAUUUAACGCAAGGAUGACUGAGGAGUAAGAAUUAUCUUAAAGGGACAGCACCAAAGCCAGAAAGGUAAGCGUGAUAUGUUUUUGUUUACAAAAGGCAUACUUUAUUUUCUGGCACACCUUUAUUUUACCUCCUAAAUAUCUAUAGAAAACAAUCUGUGGGAACCAAUUCAUGAAAAUAAAAGUAUCCGCAGCUGUAAGAUGGUGAUUCUGCAGAUACAGACUAUCACACUUGAGUAGAAUAUUCGUAUGAAAUGGUACAUUAAAAAAAAAAAAAAAUACUAAAUAACAUUUUCUUACAUAUCCUGAUCUCUAUUGUGCUUCUAAAGAAAAGUGAAAGCCAAUGUAUGUAUGAAAUGAUUUUUAUGGAAACAAUCCUACAGUAAAGAAGACACUCAGUAUAUGCCCUAAAACAUAGCUCUGCCAGAAUUAAUUAAAAUAGAAAAUACAGAGGUUAAUUUUCCGAACAUUCCUUUUAAACUAGAAUCCAAUGGUAUGCAAUAAGGGAAACAAAAUGAGUGGUUUAGUGGCUGUAUGGCGAUUCUGUGCUUUCACAACAGGGGUGUCAGAAAUAUAUAUAUUUUUUAAAACAGUAAUCACUAUAAAUUGUAUUCUUGAGAGAAAGAUAUGGUUGAAUGAACACUUCUUCUGCGAGAAAGAGACCACUAGAUGUUCUAAUUUCGUCAUGCCAUCAAAAAACAUGCUCUGGCUACUUAGAAAACAGCAUUUAAUAUAGUUUAAGACAGUCUCCUGCAGAAGUGAACAUUUCACAGCCAUGUUUAGAUAUGUGCUAAGUAGCCUUUGAGUGCCAAUAAGCCAAUAAGACAGGCUUAACCAUAAAACAAAAAUGCUGAAAGGGUUUAAAAAAAAAAAAAAACAACAAAAAAAAAAACCUAUACUAGAGAACCACUUUUGUUUCUAAUAAUUGCUCAGAAAGGAAUCUACACACGUUAAUUUCACGAUGUCGAUAACAAAAAAUAUUUCACCUUUUCUGGGGUGGGAGGGGGGAAAAAAACAAAACACUCAACAAAACAGUUAAGAACAAAUAAACAACAUCACCCUAGAUUUAAUUAGGCAAAAGAAGUCACACUAAAAAUAGAAUAAAAGUUGUCUCUAAAACCAUAUUAAAGGGACACUUUGAGACAUAUAACCCCUAAACCUUGAUGUAGUGAUUAUUUUGUCAGAGUGUCUAUGCACAAUGCCAUGCUUUUUAUUCUUUUUAACGGUUUAGUAGCUCUUUGACAAGAUCUGGGGUACUCCACUGCACCCCCACCCCCCAUUACCAUCAUUGACAGACAGGCUGAGAGUAUUGGGCCAAUUCCACGUUGUACAAAACGGACAGUGAUAAUGCAUAACAACUCCACAUUAUCAAUGCGGACAAACAGGAGGUAUUAUCAAUGUGGCACAGUAAGGGUGGGCUACAUGUGCAGUGGAGACUGCAGUCUUUUGGCCUAUCUUUUCUAAAUGGCUUGGUAUCAAACAAGCAGAUGGUGCCCAGACUCUAGACAACAUAACAAACUAGAAGUAAGCUGCAGAGGCCAUAUUGUUCAGACUGUCCCUUUAAUGAUUAACAAUGAAAAACACUUUUUUUUUUUUUUUUUUAAUGAGCACAGAUUUCACCACUUCUGAGAGAAGCAGCAGUUUGAUGAUCACAAUGAUCACUUCCUGUAAAAGGAACCCUCCAGACUUUAAGUUGCUGAAGUGCUUUGUGCGCCUGGAGUCUGUCAAUAUUUGUGACAAUUUAUAAAAGGGCAGAUUUAAAAAGAAAAUCAGCACUUUUAUAAAACGUUGCAGCUGUCAGAUAGUCAGGGAGGUAUUCUUCUGCUUUCUUUAGCUGCACAGAACUAACAGAAGUGGCAGGCUUUAAAUACCCCCUUAAAACUAGCAGUAUUAAAUUGUGAUCUACCGUAACCAUUUACUUUGAAUGGUUUCAGGAAGGACUGUUUGCAUGACCUACCUCUACACUAUUUUAACCCAAGAUCUUUAUACUGUACAAUAUUUGGCACUGGAACUGUUGGUAUUACAAAUCAUUUUCAUAAUUCAAAAAAAAUAUGAAAAUGAUUUGUAAUACCAACAGUUCCAGUGCCAAAUAAUGACUCCCUUCACCUUUUUUUAAAGAGCUGUAUGGCAGCUUAUAGUGAAGCAUAGAAGCCUUGGUCAAGAGCCUGCUUGAUGCUCCAGCAUAGAGGCGAUUGAUGGAUUUCCCAGAGGGAAAGACUUGCAAAGGAUGCAGACAGUAGGUCUGCAACUUUGGCAAGCUGUUUUUUUUUGUUUUUCUCAUAAACCCCUAAAGAAAACAUGCAGAACAAAAAUACAAGCAUACUUUCUUUUGGUGUAUAUCAACUAAACUGUAAAUAAUAAUAAUAAUGUGUUCCUUCAAGGUUCUGGAAAUGAAACCAGCCUUUGGCCUCAGCUUUCUAUUGGCUCGCGUGACAUUACAUUGAACAGCUGUAGAACAAACCAAAAAAAACUCAAAACACACUGGUUUGGCUUACUGCUUCAUAAGGUUUUAACAUGUAUACUUGCUUCUUUUCAAAAAACUGGAAUAAGCAGCCAUUUAGUAAAAUAGAUCAUUUUUUCUUUUUAGUAUCAUUAAUAUUCUUUUUAAACUAUUGCCGAAUGCUAGAACAGAGGUUAUAGAAAUUAUAUUCAUUCUUUCCCAGAACAGAUUCAACAAUAAAAACAGCAGCUCAAUGGUAAACAACUUUAUUAACAAUCCCUUUAAUAAAAAAAAAGCUUUUUUUUUUGUCUUUCUCAACAAAGCUGGCCUUGCGUAAAUGUACAGUAUCAAAAAGCGAUUAAGAAUGCAAAAAAAAAUUUUUUUUUUUUAAAAGCAUAAACUGAUGGAAAGAAAUUGACCUCAAAAAGUUUGUGUACCUAUCCCUAUUUAUUACUGCCACUAAAUAAAAACUAAAUAUGAA
rnacentral:lncRNA from 1 species